rnacentral:rRNA from 1 species
AGCGGUAACAGCUCAAAUUUGAAAUCUGGCCUCACGGUCCGAGUUGUAAUUUGUAGAGGAUGCUUCGAGCAUGGUCUGGCCUAAGUUCCUUGGAACAGGACGUCAUAGAGGGUGAGAAUCCCGUAUGCGGCCAGGUGCCUACGCUCAUGUGAAGCUCCUUCGACGAGUCGAGUUGUUUGGGAAUGCAGCUCAAAAUGGGUGGUAAAUUUCAUCUAAAGCUAAAUAUUGGCCAGAGACCGAUAGCGCACAAGUAGAGUGAUCGAAAGAUGAAAAGCACUUUGGAAAGAGAGUUAAACAGUACGUGAAAUUGUUGAAAGGGAAGCGCUUGCAACCAGACUUGCGCGCGGCCGAUCAUCCGGUGUUCUCACCGGUGCACUCGGCCGUGCUCAGGCCAGCAUCGGUUUUGGCGGCUGGAUAAAGGCCCUAGGAAUGUGGCUCCUCUCGGGGAGUGUUAUAGCCUAGGGUGCAAUGCAGCCUGCUGGGACCGAGGACCGCGCUUCGGCUAGGAUGCUGGCGUAAUGGUUGUAAGCGGCCCGUCUUGAAACACGGACCAAGGAGUCUAACAUCUAUGCGAGUGUUUGGGUGUCAAACCCAUACGCGUAAUGAAAGUGAACGGAGGUGAGAACCCUUAAGGGUGCAUCAUCGACCGAUCCUGAUGUCUUCGGAAGGAUUUGAGUAAGAGCAUAGCUGUUGGGACCCGAAAGAUGGUGAACUAUGCCUGAAUAGGGUGAAGCCAGAGGAAACUCUGGUGGAGGCUCGCAGCGGUUCUGACGUGCAAAUCGAUCGUCAAAUUUGGGUAUAGGGGCGAAAGACUAAUCGAACCAUUGACCUGUAGGACACUA